rnacentral:rRNA from 1 species
UACGAAGGGGGCUAGCGUUGUUCGGAUUUACUGGGCGUAAAGCGCACGUAGGCGGAUCGUUAAGUCGGGGGUGAAAUCCUGGAGCUCAACUCCAGAACUGCCUUCGAUACUGGCGAUCUUGAGUCCGGAAGAGGUGAGUGGAACUCCUAGUGUAGAGGUGGAAUUCGUAGAUAUUAGGAAGAACACCAGUGGCGAAGGCGGCUCACUGGUCCGGUACUGACGCUGAGGUGCGAAAGCGUGGGGAGCAAACGGG